AAGCUCUUCAACAAAAUCAUCACAGUAGUAUGGUUGCCCACUUUUCAACAAAUUUCACCUAACAGUCAUUAACAACAUUGUAAUGACAUUUGGGAAUUGUGCUCUUCAUAUCACCAUUGUUGCUCAGAUGGAUAUAGAAUUCUGCAUGACAGUGAAGGAACCCGUGAAGAAACUACGUUCAGCUUUUGUAUUUCUAGCGUGACAAAUUUCCCCGUUAGGAACUUUAUAUAUAAUUUCUAUUAUAUGUCUUUUAAUUGGAUGGCAAUAA